GCUUUGCUGGGGUAAAGGUAACCUGGGUCGGCCCCGUUGGAAGAUGAAGAAGGUUUUCGACCCGCCGGGGGUUCGAUUCCCUCACAAAGCU